rnacentral:rRNA from 1 species
UACGUAGGGGGCAAGCGUUGUCCGGAUUUAUUGGGCGUAAAGAGCUCGUAGGCGGUUCAGUAAGUCGGGUGUGAAACCCCCAGGCUCAACCUGGGGACGCCACCCGAUACUGCUGUGACUAGAGUCCAGUAGGGGAGUGUGGAAUUCCCGGUGUAGCGGUGAAAUGCGCAGAUAUCGGGAGGAACACCAGCGGCGAAGGCGGCACUCUGGGCUGGAACUGACGCUGAGGAGCGAAAGCGUGGGUAGCAAACAGG